UACGUAGGGUGCGAGCGUUAAUCGGAAUUACUGGGCGUAAAGGGUGCGCAGGCGGUUAUAUAAGACAGAUGUGAAAUCCCCGGGCUCAACCUGGGAACUGCGUUUGUGACUGUAUGACUAGAGUACGGUAGAGAGGGGUGGAAUUCCUGGUGUAGCAGUGAAAUGCGUAGAUAUCAGGAGGAACAUCGAUGGCGAAGGCAGCCCCUUGGACCUGUACUGACGCUUAUGCACGAAAGCGUGGGGAGCAAACAGG
rnacentral:rRNA from 1 species